GCGAUCGUAGCUCAGUUGGUAGAGCAAAAAACUUUUAAUUUUUGGGGCAGGGUUUCGAUUACCCUCGGUCGCA
rnacentral:tRNA from 1 species